GGGGGGGGGGGGGGGGGGGGCGGGGAGAGGGAGGGCGAGGGGGCGGAGGGGGAGCUUGCUCCUCGGACGUGAGCGGCGGACGGGGGAGUAACGCGUGGAUGAGCUACCGAUAAGACGGGGAUAACUUCGGGAAACCGGAGCUAAUACCGGAUAAUAUAUUGAACCGCAUGGUUCAAUAGUGAAAGACGGUUUUGCUGUCACUUAUAGAUGGAUCCGCGCCGCAUUAGCGAGUUGGUAAGGUAACGGGUUACCAAGGCAACGAUGCGUAGCCGACCUGAGAGGGUGAUCGGCCACACUGGAACUGAGACACGGUCCAGACUCCUACGGGAGGCAGCAGUAGGGAAUCUUCCGCAAAGGGCGAAAGCCUGACGGAGCAACGCCGCGUGAGUGAUGAAGGUCUUCGGAUCGUAAAACUCUGUUAUUAGGGAAGAACAAAUGUGUAAGUAACUAUGCACGUCUUGACGGUACCUAAUCAGAAAGCCACGGCUAACUACGUG
rnacentral:rRNA from 1 species